GACGAACGCUGGCGGCGUGCUUAACACAUGCAAGUCGAACGGAAAGGCCCUGCUUUUUUGGGGUGCUCGAGUUGCGAACGGGUGAGUAACACUUGAGUAACCUGCCCUUGACUUUGGGAUAACUUCAGGAAACUGGGUCUAAUACCGGAUAGGAGCUCCUGCUUCAUGGUGGGGCUUGGAAGGUUUCGGCGGUUGGUGAUGGACUCGCGUCUUAUCAGCUUGUUGGUGGGGUAGUGGCUUACCAAGACUUGGCCGGGUAGCCGUACUGAGAGGGUGACCGGACAAAUUGGGACGGAGAUACGGCCCAGCCUCCUCCGGGAGGCAGCAGUGGGGAAUAUUGCACAAUGGGCGGAAGCAUGAUGCAGCCAAGCAGCGUGCGGGAUGACGGCAUUCGGGUUGUAAACCGCUUUCGCCUGUGACGAAGCGUGAGUGACGGUAAUGGGUAAAGAAGCACCGGCUAACUACGUG
rnacentral:rRNA from 1 species